CAGGUAACUGCUAUUUCAAAGCAGCAAGACUAGGAGGAGUUGAAAUGCGUCUUCUAGAAUACUCAUGGGCUCAAUGUGCAAAACUGUGGUAUCUACACAACUUUCUGUCAAGAUAAAUAUUUGAAAAUAAGUUGAUCCCAAGCUUGUGGUGCUGCCCUGGCCCCAGAGAAGUAUGCCAGGUCAUCUGUUUGCUCUGAAAGCAUUCAGAGAAGAGGCAAGCAAUUCUUCACCUGGCAACAUGAGGAGCAGUUGAAGACCCUAAGAUUGUUGAGCCUGGAGAAAAGAAUGGACAGGAAGGACCUUACUGCUUUCUACAGCUACCUUGAAAGGAGGUUGUAGUCAGAUGAGAGUCCACCUCUUCUCCCAAGAAAUAGAGUGACACAAUGAGAAGAAGCAGCUUCAGAUUGCACCAGAGAAAGUUAAGGUUUGAAAUGAGAAAAAACUUCUUCCUUGAAAUAGUGUUCAAACUUCGGAACAGAAUGCCUACGGUACUGGUGGAAUCACUGCCCCUGGAAGUGUUCAAAGGUGAACACUUUCAAACGUGAAUGGUUUAGUGAUGACCACAAAGGAAUUAGUUAAACAGUUGAAAUUAAUGAUUUUGGAGAUCUUUUCCAAUCUUAACCUUAACAAUUCCGUGAUUUUAUGAAUAUAUGAAGUGCAGGUUUUCAGGGUCACUCUGAGUUGUGCAGCUAAGGAGAAGAGGGAUUUUUUGGACUCAGUUCUGGAUUAUAUUUUGUUUUCAAACCAUCUUGAAUGAAAGGAAAACAAGUGCCCAUAUUUUAUAGGAUCUUUCAGAUAAGAAAGUGGAACUUAUCUUUCAGAUAAGAGUGGAAAUAGAUUUAGUUUACAGCUUCUGCUAAAAUAAAUAAUAGCUUUUGCUAAAUGUUCUGCAGAAACAUUCAACUUAGAAAGAUUAAGUAGGAUAAACAUGAGGCAGAAAACACUAGUAUAAGGCCACUGGGAAGUCACUGAAUAUCACAGGCAUAAAAAUAUAUUUCUUGUAUUUAAAUUCUUCUGUUUAUUAAAAAAACCUGUUUCAACUCAAAAAGAGAAAAUACAUUCCUUUCA